rnacentral:rRNA from 1 species
AUUGAACGCUGGCGGCAGGCCUAACACAUGCAAGUCGAGCGGAGGAAGGGAGCUUGCUCCUGGAUUCAGCGGCGGACGGGUGAGUAAUGCCUAGGAAUCUGCCUGGUAGUGGGGGAUAACGUCCGGUAACGGGCGCUAAUACCGCAUACGUCCUGAGGGAGAAAGUGGGGGAUCUUCGGACCUCACGCUAUCAGAUGAGCCUAGGUCGGAUUAGCUAGUUGGUGGGGUAAAGGCCUACCAAGGCGACGAUCCGUAACUGGUCUGAGAGGAUGAUCAGUCACACUGGAACUGAGACACGGUCCAGACUCCUACGGGAGGCAGCAGUGGGGAAUAUUGGACAAUGGGGGAAAGCAUGAUCCAGCCAUGCCGCGUGUGUGAAGAAGGUCUUCGGAUUGUAAAGCACUUUAAGUUGGGAGGAAGGGCAGUAAGUUAAUACCUUGCUGUUUUGACGUUACCAACAGAAUAAGCACCGGCUAACUUCGUG